CGUAUGAAAAAUAUCUUGAUCAAGCAACCGGGUUAAAUGAAGAGAGUUCUUUUUCCGACGCUCAACGGCUAAAGCAUUGAUCACUUGUCACAUCAUCUGUCGCCAAGAUUUUUUUCAUUUCUUCUUCCCAACUCUCCGAUUCAUAUCUCAAGUGUGAGCGUCUUUCUUUCAGUACGGGAGAGGUCUCCAGCACCAUUUUGGGUGGUUUCUUUUUCAUCUAGGGUUUAAUGGCGGGGCGGCAAAGGGUUUAAGCGGUUGCUGUCUCCGAUUGCCACUGUGCGUAUGCCGGAAGGACUUCUUAAAUUACUAGAAAAUAGGGAGCGUGCUGAUUGCAGAGCUGAUGAACGGUGAACCGCCGACAGGCUAUGUGAACUUAGGCAUAUUUGUAUGCAUGCAGUGAUCGGGAAUGCAUCAAAGUCUAGGAGUACAUAUAUCAAAGAGUCUUGCAGACAAUAGUUUUCCCUUAAAUGGUGGUCUCUCAGCAAACCGCCUUCAUGCUCAGUGAAACAGAAACCGUUCGUUAGAGGUGGCAAGUUGGUGGUGAUCUCAUCAUAUCUCAUCUCCUUUGCUUCUCACACUACUUCAAAAUUGCCAUGCUUGUUAUGUGAAGUGCGUGCUGUCGACGCCUUCACUAACAUUCCUCGGCAUCCACACCAUUUAUGCUUGUGUUCCAACUUGUCGUUGAUGCUGAGUGUGCCUGUGUUUUAGCUCGCCUUCAGCUCAAAUCUUCUCCUUCAGCUAGCGUGCAUUUGGGGCUUGUUCUUAUACUUAUUUAACGGGUCUCUCCGCUGGGGCGUGUCUAGCCUCUUGAUUCAGGUCAAAAAUUCCACUCUACUUCUGUGCCAAUGGAUCGCUUUAUGAGUAGGGAUUUUGGCCGAUUUAUUGAUGAUCCCCUUCACUUGCAAUGCCUUGUUCGGUUUGGGUGUACCCAUGCUCAUUGGUGGAGUGGUUCUCUGAUUUUUGGACUCAAGAAUUUGCCAAAAGUGGGUCGGAGUGUUGCAAAACCGGCAAGAGCUGCCAACAGGAAUUCUCUGGAAUCAUGAUAUUAUUUCUUGAUUUUUUUCUCACUCGAGUAGAUGGCUUAAGGCAGAGAAUGGCAUGUACUAGUGAAGAGGGAUUUUUGGAAUAUCAAAUUAUAAGGCGGACCUUUCAGGGUCGUGAGCUCUGUUUUUUGCAGUAUGGCUUAACUGUUCCAUUUGCUGUAUUUGGAUGAGAAUUCGCACUGUGCGCUGGGCGCCUAUCCCUAUGCGCCAUGGCAUGGGUCCAGAGAAGACAGCUCUCUCUUGGUGGCCCUGUGUGCUGCAACACACCACGCACGCACCGAGGCAUGUGGCACAAAGGCUUUUUAACUUGUUUUCUUUUUCACUUUUUGAUCCUCAAGUGACCUAAUUUCGCUUUGAACCUAAAUUAUAUUUGAAAUUUCAACUAAAAACACUUUUUAUUCUCCUCUAACCACACACCAUGUCAACUUAUUUAAUUAUCUUAAUUAAACUUAGUAAAUCAGGGAAUUAAAAUCAAGAUGUUACAUAUAGUCAUCUUCCAACUUUUAGUUUCUUUAUCUUGUAUGCAAGCAUCGCAAGAGAGUUAAAUGUAACUUUUUUAAGUUUUAACCUAAUGAUAGUUUUGUGUAUUGCUUAAGGAUGUCACACG